GUGCCAGCAGCCGCGGUAAUACAGAGGGUGCAAGCGUUAAUCGGAUUUACUGGGCGUAAAGCGCGCGUAGGUGGCUAAUUAAGUCAAAUGUGAAAUCCCCGAGCUUAACUUGGGAAUUGCAUUCGAUACUGGUUAGCUAGAGUAUGGGAGAGGAUGGUAGAAUUCCAGGUGUAGCGGUGAAAUGCGUAGAGAUCUGGAGGAAUACCGAUGGCGAAGGCAGCCAUCUGGCCUAAUACUGACACUGAGGUGCGAAAGCAUGGGGAGCAAACAGGAUUAGAUACCCUGGUAGUCCAUGCCGUAAACGAUGUCUACUAGCCGUUGGGGCCCUUGAGGCUUUAGUGGCGCAGCUAACGCGAUAAGUAGACCGCCUGGGGAGUACGGUCGCAAGACUAAAACUCAAAUGAAUUGACGGGGGCCCGCACAAGCGGUGGAGCAUGUGGUUUAAUUCGAUGCAACGCGAAGAACCUUACCUGGCCUUGACAUACAGAGAACUUUCCAGAGAUGGAUUGGUGCCUUCGGGAACUCUGAUACAGGUGCUGCAUGGCUGUCGUCAGCUCGUGUCGUGAGAUGUUGGGUUAAGUCCCGCAACGAGCGCAACCCUUUUCCUUAUUUGCCAGCACUUCGGGUGGGAACUUUAAGGAUACUGCCAGUGACAAACUGGAGGAAGGCGGGGACGACGUCAAGUCAUCAUGGCCCUUACGGCCAGGGCUACACACGUGCUACAAUGGUCGGUACAAAGGGUUGCUACUGCGCGAGCAGAUGCUAAUCUCAAAAAGCCGAUCGUAGUCCGGAUCGCAGUCUGCAACUCGACUGCGUGAAGUCGGAAUCGCUAGUAAUCGCGGAUCAGAAUGCCGCGGUGAAUACGUUCCCGGGCCUUGUACACACCGCCCGUCACACCAUGGGAGUUUGUUGCACCAGAAGUAGGUAGUCUAACCUUAGGGAGGACGC
rnacentral:rRNA from 1 species